GACGAACGCUGGCGGCGUGCCUAAUACAUGCAAGUCGAACGCUUUUUCUUUCACCGGAGCUUGCUCCACCGAAAGAAAAGGAGUGGCGAACGGGUGAGUAACACGUGGGUAACCUGCCCAUCAGAAGGGGAUAACACUUGGAAACAGGUGCUAAUACCGUAUAACAAUCGAAACCGCAUGGUUUCGGUUUGAAAGGCGCUUUUGCGUCACUGAUGGAUGGACCCGCGGUGCAUUAGCUAGUUGGUGAGGUAACGGCUCACCAAGGCAACGAUGCAUAGCCGACCUGAGAGGGUGAUCGGCCACAUUGGGACUGAGACACGGCCCAAACUCCUACGGGAGGCAGCAGUAGGGAAUCUUCGGCAAUGGACGGAAGUCUGACCGAGCAACGCCGCGUGAGUGAAGAAGGUUUUCGGAUCGUAAAACUCUGUUGUUAGAGAAGAACAAGGAUGAGAGUAGAAUGUUCAUCCCUUGACGGUAUCUAACCAGAAAGCCACGGCUAACUACGUGCCAGCAGCCGCGGUAAUACGUAGGUGGCAAGCGUUGUCCGGAUUUAUUGGGCGUAAAGCGAGCGCAGGCGGUUUCUUAAGUCUGAUGUGAAAGCCCCCGGCUCAACCGGGGAGGGUCAUUGGAAACUGGGAAACUUGAGUGCAGAAGAGGAGAGUGGAAUUCCAUGUGUAGCGGUGAAAUGCGUAGAUAUAUGGAGGAACACCAGUGGCGAAGGCGGCUCUCUGGUCUGUAACUGACGCUGAGGCUCGAAAG
rnacentral:rRNA from 1 species